GUGCUCACUUCGGCAGCACAUUUACUAAAAUUGGAAUGAUACAGAGAUUAGCAUGGCCCCUGUGCAAGGAUGACAUACAAAUUUGUGAAGUUUUCCAAAAUUUU